UUAUGCAUUUUCUUGAUAACGUAGAACUCGAAAGAUGUCGGUAAUGUUGAUAUACGCGCGAUCAUCUAAUAAAUUUAUUAUACUGACAUAUAUUGAUUUUCAUUUGGAAUCGAUAAUCUAAUAUAUGCUACAUUCAUAAAGCAAGCUUAUGUGAUAAUCCAACUUAAAAUUACAAGGAUGAUACUAGAUCUGUGCUCACAUCACGUAGGACUAUCUUGGCUUCUAUCAAUUCCUGAUCUUCUUCUUCCUCAUCAUCAGUUAAAACUGGACUCUGCGGUUUGAUACUACUUUUUGGUGGUCUGUUAAAUAAGUGAAUUGUGUUC